CUGUAGCCAAUUAAGGCAACCAGGUUCCUUUCCUCAUGGGAGCCCAGUGUGCAGGGCCUGCAAGUAGCCGUCUCCUUGGGAGUGUGCGCAGCCCGCUGCUUGUGUGGAUUGCUCUAAGGGCCCCCGGAGACAGAA